rnacentral:rRNA from 1 species
GUACACUCCUACGGGAGGCAGCAGUGGGGAAUAUUGCACAAUGGGCGCAAGCCUGAUGCAGCCAUGCCGCGUGUAUGAAGAAGGCCUUCGGGUUGUAAAGUACUUUCAGCGGGGAGGAAGGCGAUAAGGUUAAUAACCUUGUUGAUUGACGUUACCCGCAGAAGAAGCACCGGCUAACUCCGUGCCAGCAGCCGCGGUAAUACGGAGGGUGCAAGCGUUAAUCGGAAUUACUGGGCGUAAAGCGCACGCAGGCGGUCUGUCAAGUCGGAUGUGAAAUCCACGGGCUCAACCUGGGAACUGCAUUCGAAACUGGCAGGCUAGAGUCUUGUAGAGGGGGGUAGAAUUCCAGGUGUAGCGGUGAAAUGCGUAGAGAUCUGGAGGAAUACCGGUGGCGAAGGCGGCCCCCUGGACAAAGACUGACGCUCAGGUGCGAAAGCGUGGGGAGCAAACAGGAUUAGAAACCCUGGUAGUCCCA